UGAAUCCAUAGGUUAAUGAGGCGAACCGGGGGAACUGAAACAUCUAAGUACCCCGAGGAAAAGAAAUCAACCGAGAUUCCCCCAGUAGCGGCGAGCGAACGGGGAGCAGCCCAGAGCCUGAAUCAGUGUGUGUGUUAGUGGAAGCGUCUGGAAAGGCGCGCGAUACAGGGUGACAGCCCCGUACACAAAAAUGCACAUACUGUGAGCUCGAUGAGUAGGGCGGGACACGUGGUAUCCUGUCUGAAUAUGGGGGGACCAUCCUCCAAGGCUAAAUACUCCUGACUGACCGAUAGUGAACCAGUACCGUGAGGGAAAGGCGAAAAGAACCCCGGCGAGGGGAGUGAAAAAGAACCUGAAACCGUGUACGUACAAGCAGUGGGAGCACGCUUAGGCGUGUGACUGCGUACCUUUUGUAUAAUGGGUCAGCGACUUAUAUUCUGUAGCAAGGUUAACCGAAUAGGGGAGCCGAAGGGAAACCGAGUCUUAACUGGGCGUUAAGUUGCAGGGUAUAGACCCGAAACCCGGUGAUCUAGCCAUGGGCAGGUUGAAGGUUGGGUAACACUAACUGGAGGACCGAACCGACUAAUGUUGAAAAAUUAGCGGAUGACUUGUGGCUGGGGGUGAAAGGCCAAUCAAACCGGGAGAUAGCUGGUUCUCCCCGAAAGCUAUUUAGGUAGCGCCUCGUGAAUUCAUCUCCGGGGGUAGAGCACUGUUUCGGCAAGGGGGUCAUCCCGACUUACCAACCCGAUGCAAACUGCGAAUACCGGAGAAUGUUAUCACGGGAGACACACGGCGGGUGCUAACGUCCGUCGUGAAGAGGGAAACAACCCAGACCGCCAGCUAAGGUCCCAAAGUCAUGGUUAAGUGGGAAACGAUGUGGGAAGGCCCAGACAGCCAGGAUGUUGGCUUAGAAGCAGCCAUCAUUUAAAGAAAGCGUAAUAGCUCACUGGUCGAGUCGGCCUGCGCGGAAGAUGUAACGGGGCUAAACCAUGCACCGAAGCUGCGGCAGCGACGCUUAUGCGUUGUUGGGUAGGGGAGCGUUCUGUAAGCCUGUGAAGGUGUGCUGUGAGGCAUGCUGGAGGUAUCAGAAGUGCGAAUGCUGACAUAAGUAACGAUAAAGCGGGUGAAAAGCCCGCUCGCCGGAAGACCAAGGGUUCCUGUCCAACGUUAAUCGGGGCAGGGUGAGUCGACCCCUAAGGCGAGGCCGAAAGGCGUAGUCGAUGGGAAACAGGUUAAUAUUCCUGUACUUGGUGUUACUGCGAAGGGGGGACGGAGAAGGCUAUGUUGGCCGGGCGACGGUUGUCCCGGUUUAAGCGUGUAGGCUGGUUUUCCAGGCAAAUCCGGAAAAUCAAGGCUGAGGCGUGAUGACGAGGCACUACGGUGCUGAAGCAACAAAUGCCCUGCUUCCAGGAAAAGCCUCUAAGCAUCAGGUAACAUCAAAUCGUACCCCAAACCGACACAGGUGGUCAGGUAGAGAAUACCAAGGCGCUUGAGAGAACUCGGGUGAAGGAACUAGGCAAAAUGGUGCCGUAACUUCGGGAGAAGGCACGCUGAUAUGUAGGUGAAGCGACUUGCUCGUGGAGCUGAAAUCAGUCGAAGAUACCAGCUGGCUGCAACUGUUUAUUAAAAACACAGCACUGUGCAAACACGAAAGUGGACGUAUACGGUGUGACGCCUGCCCGGUGCCGGAAGGUUAAUUGAUGGGGUCAGCGCAAGCGAAGCUCUUGAUCGAAGCCCCGGUAAACGGCGGCCGUAACUAUAACGGUCCUAAGGUAGCGAAAUUCCUUGUCGGGUAAGUUCCGACCUGCACGAAUGGCGUAAUGAUGGCCAGGCUGUCUCCACCCGAGACUCAGUGAAAUUGAACUCGCUGUGAAGAUGCAGUGUACCCGCGGCAAGACGGAAAGACCCCGUGAACCUUUACUAUAGCUUGACACUGAACAUUGAGCCUUGAUG
rnacentral:rRNA from 1 species